rnacentral:rRNA from 1 species
GCACAUACUGUGAGCUCGAUGAGUAGGGCGGGACACGUGGUAUCCUGUCUGAAUAUGGGGGGACCAUCCUCCAAGGCUAAAUACUCCUGACUGACCGAUAGUGAACCAGUACCGUGAGGGAAAGGCGAAAAGAACCCCGGCGAGGGGAGUGAAAAAGAACCUGAAACCGUGUACGUACAAGCAGUGGGAGCACGCUUCGGCGUGUGACUGCGUACCUUUUGUAUAAUGGGUCAGCGACUUAUAUUCUGUAGCAAGGUUAACCGAAUAGGGGAGCCGAAGGGAAACCGAGUCUUAACUGGGCGUUAAGUUGCAGGGUAUAGACCCGAAACCCGGUGAUCUAGCCAUGGGCAGGUUGAAGGUUGGGUAACACUAACUGGAGGACCGAACCGACUAAUGUUGAAAAAUUAGCGGAUGACUUGUGGCUGGGGGUGAAAGGCCAAUCAAACCGGGAGAUAGCUGGUUCUCCCCGAAAGCUAUUUAGGUAGCGCCUCGUGAAUUCAUCUCCGGGGGUAGAGCACUGUUUCGGCAAGGGGGUCAUCCCGACUUACCAACCCGAUGCAAACUGCGAAUACCGGAGAAUGUUAUCACGGGAGACACACGGCGGGUGCUAACGUCCGUCGUGAAGAGGGAAACAACCCAGACCGCCAGCUAAGGUCCCAAAGUCAUGGUUAAGUGGGAAACGAUGUGGGAAGGCCCAGACAGCCAGGAUGUUGGCUUAGAAGCAGCCAUCAUUUAAAGAAAGCGUAAUAGCUCACUGGUCGAGUCGGCCUGCGCGGAAGAUGUAACGGGGCUAAACCAUGCACCGAAGCUGCGGCAGCGACACUAUGUGUUGUUGGGUA